GCAAGGCUAAAACUCAAAUGAAUUGACGGGGGCCCGCACAAGCGGUGGAGCAUGUGGUUUAAUUCGAUGCAACGCGAAGAACCUUACCUACCCUUGACAUCCAGAGAAUCUGUUAGAGAUAAUUGAGUGCCUUCGGGAACUCUGAGACAGGUGCUGCAUGGCUGUCGUCAGCUCGUGUUGUGAAAUGUUGGGUUAAGUCCCGUAACGAGCGCAACCCUUAUCCUUAGUUGCCAGCACGUAAUGGUGGGAACUCUAGGGAGACUCCCGGUGAUAAACCGGAGGAAGGUGGGGACGACGUCAAGUCAUCAUGGCCCUUAUGGGUAGGGCUACACACGUGCUACAAUGGCCAGUACAGAGGGCUGCAAACUUGCGAGAGUAAGCAAAUCCCAGAAAGCUGGUCUUAGUCCGGAUUGGAGUCUGCAACUCGACUCCAUGAAGUUGGAAUCGCUAGUAAUCGCGAAUCAGAACGUCGCGGUGAAUACGUUCCCGGGCCUUGUACACACCGCCCGUCACACCAUGGGAGUGGGUUGCAAAAGAAGUGGGUAGACUAACCUUCGGGAGGUCGCUCACCACUUUGUGAUUCAUGACUGGGGUGAAGUCGUAACAAGGUA
rnacentral:rRNA from 1 species